AGAACGAACGCUGGCGGCAGGCCUCAAACAUGCAAGUCUAGGGGGUGUAGCAAUACAUCACCGGCGGACGGGUGCGUAACGCGUGGGAAUAUACCUAUUGGUUCGGAACAACUGAGGGAAACUUCAGCUAAUACCGGAUGAGCCCUAACGGGGAAAGAUUUCUCGCCAAUAGAUUAGCCCGCGUCCGAUUAGCUAGUUGGUGGGGUAAAAGCCUACCAAGGCGACGAUCGGUAGCUGUUCUGAGAGGAAGAUCAGCCACACUGGGACUGAGACACGGCCCAGACUCCUACGGGAGGCAGCAGUUGGGAAUCUUGGACAAUGGGGGAAACCCUGAUCCAGCCAUGCCGCGUGAGUGAUGAAGGCCUUCGGGUUGUAAAACUCUUUCGACGGGGACGAUAAUGACGGUACCCGUAGAAGAAGCUCCGGCUAACUUCGCGCCAGCAGCCGC
rnacentral:rRNA from 1 species